rnacentral:lncRNA from 1 species
UCCUCUUUUUGGCCCUACCCAUUCUUCUUAUGUUUCAAAAAAGAAUGGUCAUUGGUAUCGGAUAUAUAAUAGAAGUUGAUAAGAAUAAGCAAGGGCAAUAUCAGUGCAGGAUUCUGUCAGAAGGGAAAGAUCUCUUUUAUUAGAGAUGCUUAACAGCUGAAGACAAAAAGCAAAACAAAAGAGUGUCCUUAGUUUUGAGGUGUAGGAUUCUUAUCGAAGAGAGUACAUGACAGGCAGUAAAAACACAAAAAGGUCAAUUAAAG